GUCAAGAUGUGGUCGUCAGCGCCCUCUUGUGGACAAUGAAUCAGUGUUGUUCAGAUCAUGAGCUCGUGGUGUUCAGUCGCAGAUGACUUCUGUUGGAAUGGAUCUACACUGAUGUCUGUUUUAGUACUCCAGUCCUGGGGACCAACAGAGCUCCACAUUUUACACGUCUCUCUUAUCAAAUACACACAGGCUCCUGAAAACAGGUUGUGAAUCAGGCCCCGUAUUCACAGAAUCUUUUAUCUUCUCAACAUCAGAAAAAGUUUUAAGCUAAGAGUUUCUUUUACAACUUAUUCACAAAGCUGCAGAUUUAAAGGUUUAAGCUAAGAAUGAGGGCGGGUUCAGCUCAUUGCUAUGGAUGAUGUCAGCAUGCUUAUUAACUAUGCACACAGUGACUGGAUGAUAAGCAGGUGAGGAGUCUCUGUCAGAAAUGUGUUGAUAGACACUUUGCAGAGGACAAUAUCAUGUAGCCAUGUUCAAAUAAAGGUUUUAAAAUGCA